UACGUAGGGGGCAAGCGUUGUCCGGAUUUAUUGGGCGUAAAGAGCGUGUAGGCGGCCAUUCAGGUCAGCUGUGAAAAACUCGAGGCUCAACCUCGAGACGUCGGUUGAAACCGUUUGGCUAGAGUCCGGAAGAGGAGAGUGGAAUUCCCGGUGUAGCGGUGAAAUGCGCAGAUAUCGGGAAGAACACCCGUGGCGAAGGCGGCUCUCUGGGACGGUACUGACGCUGAGACGCGAAAAGCGUGGGGAGCGAACAGGG
rnacentral:rRNA from 1 species